UCUCACCCGAACCCUCUCCCUCUCUUACCCUCUUGAUGUAUUUCAACUUGAGUUGUGAAAAUUGGAGCUUGAUUUGAAGCUUGUGGGUUGAAAGAAAGGUGUUGAAGGCUUGAGGCUUAAUUGUGCAAGUGUUUGAGGAUUACCGGCACCUGGUCAGGAGCACCCGGGGAUUUGGAAUCUCUACUAUUGCGGGACAACAGGAAAGGGUAAGGCAUUAGCUGAUCAGCCAUGAGUUUCAGGAGCAGGGCGAAGAAUGUACAUGUUCAUGCCACUUCAGACCAAGCGGGUUAUGGGUCUAAUAGUGUUGACUUUUGUAUUCUGUUUUGCCGCUUAGGUCGGCUAGUAAAAAAAGAACUUGUAAUAAGUUUGUAAAUAUUUUUGGGAUCCCAACUAUUUUGAAAAGUUUUAAAUAUAUUACAAGUUUAUUUUCAGUCUGUUUAAUAUAAAAGUUUAAAUUCUGCGCUAUUUUAAUUAGUAAUCCCGGUUAGGGG